rnacentral:rRNA from 1 species
GUGGGGAAUUUUGGACAAUGGGCGCAAGCCUGAUCCAGCAAUGCCGCGUGCAGGAAGAAGGCCUUCGGGUUGUAAACUGCUUUUGUACGGAACGAAACGGCUCUGGUUAAUACCCGGGGCUAAUGACGGUACCGUAAGAAUAAGCACCGGCUAACUACGUGCCAGCAGCCGCGGUAAUACGUAGGGUGCAAGCGUUAAUCGGAAUUACUGGGCGUAAAGCGUGCGCAGGCGGUUUUGUAAGACAGGCGUGAAAUCCCCGGGCUCAACCUGGGAAUGGCGCUUGUGACUGCAAAGCUGGAGUGCGGCAGAGGGGGAUGGAAUUCCGCGUGUAGCAGUGAAAUGCGUAGAUAUGCGGAGGAACACCGAUGGCGAAGGCAAUCCCCUGGGCCUGCACUGACGCUCAUGCACGAAAGCGUGGGGAGCAAACAGGAUUAGAAACCCGGGUAGUCC